UAGGUUUUAUUAAUUUACAUUUACAUGAGUACAGCUUGUUGAUAAACUUUUUCCUUUAUUUUGAUGAAAAUGUGAAGUCAAUAUGUGAUAUUUUGUUCAGUGAAAAAUAGCUAAUUUUAUGUACUAAUUAUUUCUUCUCUUAUGUCAUCUAGUUUUUAGUAUGGUUUUUAAGUUUUUAGAAUGUGCAAUUUUAAAUGUAAUCUUGGUGGGAAUAUUAGUUACUAUGGUUGAGGAAUUUGGGAUCUGAGGCUGAACUUGGUGGCUCAGUUGAUAUGAACAACCAUUUUCUAUUUUCAUUCUACAUGUUUUCAACUCUGAAAAUUUGGAGCAGUUGAAAAAGAAAAUAAAACGCAAUCGCAGCAUAUUAUGAUCCUCUAAGUGUAGUUCCUACAUUUAUAUAUGUUCCAAAUAUGGUGCAGGUG
rnacentral:misc_RNA from 1 species